UACAGAGGGUGCAAGCGUUAUUCGAAAUUAUUGGGCGUAAAGCGCGCGUAGGUGGUGAGGUAAGUCCUGUGUGAAAUCCUCGGGCUCAACCCGAGAAAGUCAUGGGAAACUGCCUUGCUAGAGUACAAAAGGGGAGAGCGGAAUUCCCAGUGUAGUGGUGAAAUACGUAGAUAUUGGGAGGAACACCGGUGACGAAAGCGGCUCUCUGGUUUGUUACUGACACUCUGGCGCGAAAGCGUGGGGAUCAAACAGG
rnacentral:rRNA from 1 species